UCCUUCUAGGGAAACCCAAACCCUGCCUCAGGAGUAACUUGAAGCAUCUCAGUUCUCAAAUUAUCCCCUGCUCACCCUAAAAGAAGACUACACAGAGCUCCACCAACCUUGAGGCAGGACUGUUGUGAAAUAAAUGAAGACAUAUACGGUAUGAAUGGGGAAGAAGACACAGUAUUAUUAAUGUUACUGGAAAAAGGGGUCUUGAUCCAGACUCCAAGAAAGAAUUUUUGGAUCUCAUGCAAGAAAGAAUUCGAGGAUCUCACUCUGUCAUCCAGUCUGAAGUGCAGAGACAUGAUCAUGG